UCGCUUUGGGAGGAGCUCGCUUACUAUCAGCUUGUUGGUAGGGUAAUGGCCUACCAAUGCUAUGACGGUUAGGGGGUGUGAGAGCAUGACCCCCAGCAUUGGCACUGAAACACUGGCCAAACACCUACGGGUGGCUGCAGUCGAGAAUCUUCCACAAUGGGGGAAACCCUGAUGGAGCGAUGCUGCGUGCGGGAUGAAGGCCUUCGGGUUGUAAACCGCUUUUGUAGGGGACGAAAUUUUUGACGGUACCCUUUCGAAUAAGAGGUUGCUAACUCUGUGCCAGCAGCAGCGGUAAUACAGAGACCUCAAGCGUUAUCCGGAUUUACUGGGCGUAAAGCGUCUGUAGGGGGUUUAUUAAGUUCCAAGUAAAAUUUCAAGGCUCAACUUUGAAUUCGCUUGGAAAACUAAUAAACUGGAGUCUAGCAGAGGUGCAUGGAACUUGUGGUGUAGGAGUGAAAUCCGUUGAUAUCACAAGGAACACCAAAGGCGAAGGCAUUGCACUGGGCUAGCACUGACCCUGAGAGACGAAAGCGUGGGGAGCAAAACGGAUUAGAUACCCGUGUAGUCCACGCCCUAAACGAUGAAUGCUAAAUGUUCGGGGAUUCGACCCCCUGGGUGUUACAGCUAACGCGUUAAGCAUUCCGCCUGGGAAGUACGGCCGCAAGGCUAAAACUCAAAGGAAUAGACGGGGAUCCGCACAAGCGGUGGAGCGUCUGGUUUAAUUCGACAGUAAGCGUGGUACCUCACCAGGGUUUGACAUCCCUUGACAGCCUUGGAAACAAGGUUUCCUUCGGGCAAGGUGACAGGUGCUGCAUGGUCGUCGUCAGUUCGUGCCGUGAGGUGUUCCGUUAAGUCGGGAAGCGAACGAAACCCCUAUUGCAUGUUACAAUUUCUCAUGCAAGACUGCCCGGAUAUACUGGGAGGAAGGUGGGGAUGACGUCAGAUCUGCAUGGUCCUUAUACCCUGGGCGACACAGGCGCUACAAUGGCAGAGACAAAGGGUUGCAAAACCGCAAGGUGAAGCUAAUCCCAAAAACUUUGUCUAAGUUCGGAUUGAAGGCUGCAAUUCGCCUUCAUGAAGCUGGAAUCGCUAGUAAUCGUGAAUCAGCCACGUCACGGUGAAUAUGUUCCCGGAUCUUGUACUCACCGCCCGUCACACCAAGAGAGUUGGUAGCUCACCGAAGCGUCCCGUUUUAGCGGGGC
rnacentral:rRNA from 1 species